ensembl:lncRNA
GUAAGGUUUCAAACUUUUGUUGUGGAAGCACUUUGAAAAUGCUUUCCCUUUUUUUUUUUAUUAUCAGAUACCUUUUGUUUGCCUUUGGCUCAGGACAACCUGUGGUGGAACGGAGUAUUUUAUCUGGUUAACAUCCAAUUCUGCUAUCACGCUGAAAAAAGCUUCAGUCAGUUCAGAGAUAAAUGAACAAAUGAUUCCCUCUGCUAUGCUCUGUGCACUGAAAUACAGAGGAAUUUGUGUAGCAUUGAUGCUUCUGGAGCACACGUUUUAUGCUUGGUAGACUUGAGCAUUAGAAAUAGAGAAUAGAUGAGCUUAUCAGCCCAUCUCUCCUUUCCUUAAUCAUGGUUGUUCUAGCACUGAACUAGAAAGGUAAAGGAAUGUUGAGCUGGCAGUCAGGGCACCUAAACCACAACCUGCAGUGUGCACAGGCCUCCUGCCAACAACGGGAAUCUCCAGGAGGCGGCUGGAGAAGGCUUGAAAUGAGAUAAGGCAGCAGAGAACCUGCUUUCCUGAUAGCAUAAGACAGAAAAAGGGUCAAGAACCCACACAUAGCUCUGAAGAAUUAAAGAGAAAGGAAGCUGAUAAGAACAGAGGAGCAGAAAAGCUGGACUGCUCUGUGGUCGCUGCCUUGGCUGGGAUUAGCAGCAAGCAUUUCUCUCCCCCACCUUUCCCUGCACCUGAAGGGCUGAGGCAGAAAGCAAAGGGGUUUAACCCAGCAGAGUGCAGAGGCAGUGCAGGAAUGCAGGUUCCUCCGGAUCCCCUUCCCAGCAUUUUCUGUAACGUUAGGGUUAAAGCUUAUUGCAACCACACCAGGUCAAAUACAAGAAGGACUCAACUUGCUGCACCCCGAGGGCUGCGGAGGCGUUUUACAAUGAGAGGCUGUUUGUUAGUGGGGAGGGGGGCUGCAAGAAAAGCACAGAGUAUCUUCUACAUAAACGUUCUCCCUUUCCUGAUCGGAGGGGCCUCGCUCCUGAGGAAGAAAGAACCUCAGAAGAAGGAAUUGAGGAGCACUGAUUCAAUAUACAGCGCUGAUCAAUGCACCCCGUGCUACUAGAAACCAAGAGCAAUGCCGUUGAAAGAGCUUUUACUUCGAAUGCUGUAAACCCCUGAUUUUUCAAGUGCUGAAUAAGAAUCAGCUCCCCUGUCUGACUUGGUCUGCCAGCGUACCCUGGGGAAAACAAAAGGGUACAGAGGAGCUGUGCGGGGUCUGUCGCUGCUCACCUCUUUCAAGGCCGCGCAGUGUGUUGGCAGAACUCCGAAUGCGUUCUGGCAAUCACGGUCCUAUAGCUUGGAUAAGUCUCCUAUUGCUGUUUAAAAGCUUGCAUUUCUUUGGUUAAGAAUAAAGACCGAUCCUUGCCUUGCAUUAAGUGACAGCUUCGCUUUAACGGUGCGGUUGCAGCUUUUCUAAAAAAGUGUGAAAAUGGAG